rnacentral:lncRNA from 1 species
AUGAGGCCGAAUCGCCGGCCUGGGUUUGGGGCUUCACCCCGACCCCACCUCUGGCCCGGCCCGCGCCUCUUCAGCCCCCAGGGCCCGGCUUGCCUUCCGCCCCCACAAACUGGUUUCUCUGCUUUGCUGGGCUCUGUUGGAACUAGUUCCUUUGACUCCCCGUUUCAAUUUUUUUUUCUGGGGCUUUAUUUUGCGGGGAGGGCGCGGAGGGAGGUGGCCUUUCUUCCUCUCCCCCGCGCGCGCCAGGUUUCCUGCCCCAAGGCGGGCUUGGGUGCCCCCUCUGGCAGGAAGUGGGGCCGGGUGCACCCUCGUGGCGGUGCAUGCGGUCGGGGUGCACCGGUUUCCCGCGCCUGCGAAAGCGGCCUGCGCCCCUCCCCCCGCGCUCUAGCCCCCAGUCCCGCCGGCCGACCUGCAACCGCCGGGCGCAGACACUUGCAGAGUCACCCUGGGCCCCGGGUCUGCAGCAGGGACGACAGGGACUUUACCAGCCCCCAGACGGGUAAGGAAAGUGGCGGGCUAGAAGGGUCGCCAGCAACCCACUCCAUCCUGCUCGCCAACUUGCUCUGUGACCUUGGGCAACUCAUCAGCCCUCUCUGGGCUACUAUUUUGGGGAAAACAAGGUGGUUCCGGGAUGAUUUCCUCGAGUCAUUCCUGCAGAUUGCCUCAGCAUUUGUGGAGCUCACACUGCGUGCACAGUGUGUGGAGGAGACAGGCUUGAGGCCUGAAAGGGCUUAUUACCAACUGAAGGGUCGAAGCUGGACCCUAAACGUGGCUUCGCCAAGCCAGGCCUCUCUGAUGUUCAGAAACAGGUGGAAGAGACAAGCAUCUGUUAGUCUCACCAGAGAGGGCCUCAGGCCUUGCCUUCUCUGGAGUCCUGGAUCUGGGGUUGGGGUGAGCGGAUUAAAGGGUCCCCAGCAGCAAGAGGUGGGGGGAAACACCAGCGACACCCACCAGGAUCCCCAGGCAGGCUGGCCCAGGCUUUAUGGGAUUAGGGGCUGGCUUUGCCCAACUGGAACCACCUCUCCGAGGGGGCCUCCAGCAAACCUCAUGUGA